UACGAAGGGUGCUAGCGUUGUUCGGAAUUACUGGGCGUAAAGCGUGCGCAGGCGGUUUUGUAAGCCAGGUGUGAAAUCCCCGGGCUCAACCUGGGAAUGGCAUUUGGGACUGCAAGGCUGGAGUGCGGCAGAGGAGACUGGAAUUCCUGGUGUAGCAGUGAAAUGCGUAGAUAUCAGGAGGAAUACCGAUGGCGAAGGCAGGUCUCUGGGCUGACAUUGACGCUCAUGCACGAAAGCGUGGGGAGCAAACAGG
rnacentral:rRNA from 1 species